CAGAGUGUAAGCGCCGCGAGGCGUUAAGCUAGCGAGUACUAAUCGGUCGAGGGCUUGACCUU
rnacentral:rRNA from 1 species